UACGGAGGGGGCUAGCGUUGUUCGGAAUUACUGGGCGUAAAGCGCACGUAGGCGGCUUUGUAAGUUAGAGGUGAAAGCCCAGAGCUCAACUCUGGAACUGCCUUUAAGACUGCAUCGCUUGAAUUGUGGAGAGGUAAGUGGAAUUCCGAGUGUAGAGGUGAAAUUCGUAGAUAUUCGGAAGAAACACCAGUGGCGAAGGCGACUUACUGGACACAUAUUGACGCUGAGGUGCGAAAGCGUGGGGAGCAAACAGG
rnacentral:rRNA from 1 species